GACGAACGCUGGCGGCGUGCUUAACACAUGCAAGUCGAACGGAAAGGCCCUGCUUUUGUGGGGUGCUCGAGUGGCGAACGGGUGAGUAACACGUGAGUAACCUGCCCUUGACUUUGGGAUAACUUCAGGAAACUGGGGCUAAUACCGGAUAGGAGCUCCUGCUGCAUGGUGGGGGUUGGAAAGUUUCGGCGGUUGGGGAUGGACUCGCGGCUUAUCAGCUUGUUGGUGGGGUAGUGGCUUACCAAGGCUUUGACGGGUAGCCGGCCUGGGAGGGUGACCGGCCACAUUGGGACUGAGAUAGGGCCCAGUCUCCUACGGGAGGCAGCAGUGGGGAUUAUUGCACAAUGGGCGGAAGCCUGAUGCAGCAACGCCGCGUGCGGGAUGACGGCCUUCGGGGUGUAACCCGCUUUCGCCUGUGACGAAGCGUGAGUGACGGUAAUGGGUAAAGAAGCACCGGCUAACUACGUG
rnacentral:rRNA from 1 species